rnacentral:rRNA from 1 species
UACGCACUGUGCAAACGUUAUUCGGAAUCACUGGGCUUAAAGGGUGCGUAGGCGGCUUGUUAAGUAGGGCGUGAAAGCCCCCGGCUCAACCGGGGAAUUGCGCUCUAAACUGGCGAGCUUGAGUGAGAUAGGGGUGUGUGGAACUUCCGGUGGAGCGGUGAAAUGUGUUGAUAUCGGAAGGAACGCCAGUGGCGAAAGCGACACACUGGGUCUCAACUGACGCUGAGGCACGAAAGCGAGGGGAGCAAACGGG